UUUCAACAUAGUAGUACAUAGCCCUACAGCAACAACAACAAGCGCGCGCCAAAUAUGGCCGAUUGAGGAAAGACACGAUGGAUUUCUCGCAAGUUAGCAGUCAGAAUAGCUUUGUAUCAAUGUAUAAUGCACACCAACUCGUUAGAUGACCAUUUACCACGUGAAUACAACUGCACGGAGUAUUUGGUACGUAGACACAAACAUGUGAUGUGAAACUUUCAAAAAGUCGAGCCCACGAUGUUCCAACGACUUUUUUUCAAAAAUUCAAAACUUAACGAAAGCCCAGUAAAUUCUCUCGUCCGAUCGAGUGUGAUUUGAUUUGAUUUUAUUCGAGUUUUAACUCCGUUUAAUCAUCUUCAUUGCGUACAAUACCUAAGGAUUAUUGAGAGUCCUUCCCUUGGCUUGAACCAGUUCAUGCCAGGUGUCCUGUCUACUUUGAACAGUUGAUCUCAGUGGAUUAAGCUAGGCAAGCUUGCGUAGCUACUCAAACAGCGUAAUCCAGUUCUGUGAACAAAUCAAUCCUUACCUUGAUGGCUCUUUUACACCAAGACAUGAUAAGACUGGAAGUACCUUGCUAGCGCCGCGUGCGACGAAAGGGCUCCAGAACUCCUGUAUGUCCAUGGGAAGGUCACCAUCCCGUCCUUGCUGUCUCAUGAAGUUGGAUUGCCAAUAGUGCAUGGAAAGCCGGUUGUAAAGGCUACAAAAGCUCCAACUUGCAAAGACCUGCCAAUGCAAGAUCAACCAAUCAAAAUUCAGCAGCCAACUAACAGUGAACCAAUCAAAGUUCAGCAUUCAGUGGAAGUGCAGACC